UCCGGCGCCGCCCCGUCCCGCCCCACCUCCUCCCCGGCUCGUGGCGCCACCCCGCCCCACCCCAGCUCCUCUCCGGAUCCUAGGGCCGCGCCGCCCCCAACCUCCAACCUCCCGGAUCCUGGUGCCGCCCUGCCCCUACCUCCUCCCUGUAUCCCGGCGCCGCACGCCCCCAUCUCCCUGGAUCCCCGCGACGCCUAGUCCCCAACCUCUCCGGCUCCUGGCGCCGCCAACCGCCAUCCUCUGCCAGCUCCGGUAGCCGCGUCCACCUGUUUCCUCCUGCGUGUCGGACGGUGCGAAUCUGGCCGACGUGGCGGGGCUGUGAGACUCGCCGGGGUGGAGCUCCUCCGCCUGUACCGUCGAUCCAUAGUUCAUUGUCAGUACAGGUUCUGAAAUUUCCUAGUACAUGUUGGGGGACAUUUCUGGAAUCACGGACCUGAUUGGCGCUGCAUAGAGUUACUGAUAUCUUGGUUGUGAAUCAAGGUCACAUUCUCAUAUGGCUUAUCACAGACCCUUUAUAAAUGACAAGCAUCGUCAAGUCACAUCAUCCAAUGGUCUAUGCUUAAGUUCGGCACGAAGAGUACACCAGACCCUUUAUUUACUCUUGUUCUGUUAUUCAUGUUGGUCGUUUGCUAAAUGUUUCAGCGCACAAUCCAGCUUGUAGCUGUAAGCACUCUGUUAAACAGGUUUAUCAUGUGUAAUCCCAGGCUGUAUUUGGGAAAAAUAUUUGUACUGUUGCUUCUCUUGGAAUGAAAGUGUUGUCUUGCUCUCAAAAAAAGAGUACCCAUCCAAUCUGUUCUUUCUCCCAAUUCUCCUCAUUUUAGGAUGGCACAUGAACACAAUGAUGUUCUGCAGUACCAAUUUAUUUCUGAGAUAGUACAUAUGCUAUUCUAAGAAUGACUUUUAUUGUCAUCAUUUGACUUCCAAUACAAAUAUCAAUAUAACUGGUGAUUUUGACUCUUGCAUGGACAUUCUACUCAUACUUAUGCAUGGAUAAUAUGAUAAAUUGUGGUUAGCUGCUUUUGCAUGGUCAAGCUCGCUGAUAAGGCACUAUAUACUUUUUUCCUUAGAUUAAGUGCUACUGAAAUAAGUUUGUGGGUUGCAGUACUUGUGGAUAUAGCUGUAAAUGUGUUGCUGGCUGCAGUAUAGUAUAUUGAUCUGUUCUGUUUGCCAAUGUCAUGUUGUCAUGUUCCAUUCCAUCUCACCAUUUUCCUUGACCAGCACAAUUGCGACAUUGCAAAUUGGUUAUUCAGUCAUAUGUAAUGGCUCCAAACACAUGCCUUUUUAGACUAUUCAGCUACUAUUUAUGUGUUUUUUCCUGUUUGGUUAUUUGAUUGUUAACUGACAGACACUCUUUUUAUCCUAAAAACAUAAAUACUGUUGCUAUGGUGAGUUUAGUGCCCAUAUAGAGUAGUAAUACUGUUGUUUGCAAAUCAUGGGUUAUUACUUACUAUUAGUUACUGCAGAAUAUUGGGGACUACUUGGUUCAGUUUACAUUUUAUGCUCACUGCCCAAUAUUGGGGAUUUGUUCUUGGGAUACAUGUGAAACUGAACCUUAGAUUUUAAUCCCACGUGCUCUAUAUUUCCCUUUCAAAAGUAUGCUGUAGAUUAUAGCUACAUAUGGCAUCUAGCUUUAACAACAUAACUUAAUGCUGGUAAAAAGGAAUUACGCUACAUCUAUGUUGUGCUUUGCUCUUUUUUUCAGAAUAUUCAGAUCACAUUUUCAAUGGGUUGUUUGAAACGCUACAAUAUAGAUAUAUACUCCCAGCGCACUGCCACUGGCGUUGACACCACAGGGUCCUGAGGCCUCGGCAUUCAUGCCAAGGUGGUCCAAUAGAGCCAACAGAUUAAUCUGGGAAGGCCAGCAGGACGGAGGGAAAGGUUGACAUCGUGGGCGUCGACAUUUGUGAGGUGACCAGCACGGAUGAGGAGAGUGCAAAAACUGCACCUCAUGACGGUACUCCGGAUCCUGGUGCUUCUCUCCCUCUGCUGCCUAUGUUCUCAAGAUACGAGAGAGUGGGAUAUUCGCAUGAUUGUGGCUGGUUGGAGUGUAUGGUCUUGUGGAGAUCAUGGAUGUUAUUUGCUUAUGACACGAUGUAUAUAUAUACUACUAGAAGUUCCAGUACCUAUAUUACUACAAUUCUCUAAUAAAAAAUGUAUCAGUUCA